rnacentral:lncRNA from 1 species
UCUAACAAAGUUUAGCAUAAUCAUUGACAACCUUAUAUUAAUGAAACUAACUUUUUGCCACACGGAACACAAAGGCAUUUCGGAAAAGAAAUCAUAUGAAGGCAGUAGAGUUGUGCACCAAACUAUACGGGAUAACAUCGAUGUAACAAAAGAUGAGACUUCUAUGCAGUAAAUGAUGGCCGAUGUAAGCAUAAUCAUAGCUAACUUUGGGAAAAGGUUUUGCAUAUCAACUAUCACCAAAGGCAUAAGAGGAAGAGAAGCAUUUCAAGUGAAGUUAUGGAAGAAAAGCAAUCGGAUGCAGGGCAAAGUAUACCUAUGCACCAAACUAAAAGAGAUAACAUUCAUUUAACGAAAGCUGAAAGACUAUAUGUGCAGUAAAACUCGUACUCAAACGAUGGAUGAUUCUAACUUACUAAGCAU